rnacentral:lncRNA from 1 species
UCAGCUUGACUGAAGAGAGAGCGUGGCUGUGGCGCCUGCUGUGAAAAGGCAGUGACAGCCUUGUGCAUACGAUGGUGACAACAAACACAGAGCACAUCAGAGCAAGAGAUGCAAAGGUCUGAACCAUUAAAAAAAAAAAAAGGCUUGGUAUGAGGUGAGCCUGCAGUUCAGUUGUUACCCACA